rnacentral:rRNA from 1 species
CAAUAGCGUAUAUUAAAGUUGUUGCAGUUAAAAAGCUCGUAGUUGGAUUUGUGGUUCGUCCCGCCGGCUGGGUCAUUGACUUUUGCUGUGCUGGUCGUCCAUCCUUGGGUGGAAUCUGUGUGGCAUUAGGUUGUUGCGCAGGGGAUGCCCAUCGUUUACUGUGAAAAAAUUAGAGUGUUCAAAGCAGGCUUAUGCCGUUGAAUAUAUUAGCAUGGAAUAAUGAUAUAGGACCUUGGUACUAUUUUGUUGGUUUGCGCACUGAGGUAAUGAUUAAUAGGGACAGUUGGGGGUAUUCGUAUUCCAUUGUAAGAGGUGAAAUUCUUGGAUUUUUGGAAGACGAACUACUGCGAAAGCAUUUACCAAGGAUGUUUUCAUUAA